UUUCAGAGCUGGGCUCCAGGAACGUGCAGGUGCAGGCAGUCCGUAUCACCUGGCCUAAGGAGGACAGGGUGGAGUCUGCCCACACCUGCAGCCUGACUGGGCUCACCCAGGACCUUAGCCAGAAGAAGAAGAUUCCAGAUCUUGGGAACUGGGAUGCCUGUGAGUUGGGAUGAUGACUCCACACCCACAAGUUGAGAAAAACGAAACUAGAACUGGAUGAAAUCUCAGCUUUGUUGGAGCCUUAAGGAGCAUGAAGACGGAACUACAUCUCCCAGGAUACCACUCGGCCAAUCUGUCGCUUUGCCCCACCGUCUGACCGCACCCCUCGCAGUCCAUCUUUAUAAAGGCAGAGCGACCCGAGGCGCGCAGAGCAGUGCUGGCGGUGUGGGGUGCACACAGAUUUUGCUGCUUUGGUGUGCACACUGCGUUUGGUCGCCUCCAGGGCUUUCCUGCCUAGCGAGCGUCCUCCCUGUGACACCAGAUCCCCGCGGACCUACAAACCCGAGCCCUCAAUGGGAUAUUCUGGGUUCGCCAGAGGGGUUUUCCCGAGCGCGGAUUGUACGUUUGCGCUGGCGAUGCGCACAGAAGAAAAGGCUGUGCGAGGAGACAGGAUGCGCCGGUCGGAAUCCCCGGUGGCCCUCGCCCGCAGCUCUGGCGUCGGUCCAUUCCGGGGACCUCGCUGCAGCCGCUCGGGAGUCCGGGCUCGUGAUCUUCCCGCUACCCACGCGGGUCCCUAGCGCGGUGGCGGCGCUUUGGGGUCUGGAUGAACAGGGGAGAAGAGGGUGGGGGCGCCGGAUCCCCUAACGUGGAUUACUUGGUGCUUAUCAACUGGAUUUAGAAGACCCGCGCGCGACCUCGUCCCCAUCGUCCACGGGUUAUCGUUCCACCUCCCAGCUGCUCUCCCACCUGGAGGUAAGACCAGAGGUUUCUGCCAGCGAUGGAGCAAGGACAAGAGAAAGGCUUAGAAGGAGGCUGACCAAGGGCUGUUCCUGCUCACCCGUGCUGCUCACCAGAAGCUCUGUGGAACCGUGGAAAAUAUGUUCCUGGCCCUCCUUUGAGGACUCGUCCAAGAUCAGGCUAUCUCUUAAGAGGCAAGAUCCCUGGAUUUCAACUGAGGAAUAUUAUUUUGAAAGCUAUAGAAACUUCCAGACUGUGAAGCUGUUUGGGAACACUCUGCAUUGACUUGAAUAAAGAAAUACAUACAUCGUGGACAUGACUACAGCUAGGGAAGGCUCAUCAUCCCAACUCAUCUACUGUCUUGUAGAAGACAAGUCUCCUGGUAUCACUACCUAGGAUAUUCUUCUCUACCCUGUUGCUGUCCCAGGCACCACACCCUUUCCUGCCUGACCCCACCUUGCCUUUGGACCCAGAGAUUCUUCUUAUUUGCUCUGAUAUCUUCGAGCCGGAGGCAGAGUGAAUAGUUAACUACACUUGAGUUGAAUGGGAUCUUGAUUUUUGUUUCUGUUCCUUGUAAAGAGGCCAUUCCCUGUGCACAGUGCACAGCCUGGAGAUGUUAAGUGACUCCUGGACUCCUGAGUGACGCGGGAAUUGGCGUGGAGGUUCUGUGGCCUCUUGGCAGUCAGGGCAAGUGGAGACGGCUGAGCAGGGGAGUAGAGCAGGGCUGGUCCUGACUUUGGGCUUGCGUUGCUUGGAUCCCAUGCAGGUGUGCAUUUGGACACAUAGAGAUGAAGCCAUCGUCCAGUCCAUCUUCGGUGAUGCAAAUGGGAUGAGCUAUAAAGACCUUCAGAGGUGACAGGGAUCAACUCAUCCAGGUGCUUUGAGACUGAGGCAUUGCCUACUGAGGACCUUGUCCCCCAGUUUAUGCUGGUGUCCCAUGCAGCUGUCAGAAGCUGGGAACUUCUCUUAUCUCUUUCCUCUGUGGCCUCUACUUGGGCAGUUGAGAAUCCUUCCUAAUGAAAUCGUGGUUCCACCUUCUUGACUGCACACUCGAAGAUGUUUGAGGAUUUGUAUUUAUAGUUUGUUUAUAUAAAACAUCCAAACUCCU